rnacentral:lncRNA from 1 species
GAAGGGGGCGUUACUGUUGCGACUGGCAUCCGCAUCCGGCAGAUGUAGAUGGAACCAAAGUCCAGAAGUUACGCGUCACCCUUGCUCUACAGCCAAACAUGCAGGACUCUAGUAACCCGCGAAAUGAUGGGAUAGCGUUGCAAAUCCUUAAAAGAGUCUUAACGGAGAAGGGAAAAUGUUACAUUGUCAAAGUCCCAAAGCCUUUCAGCCUGAAGCCAGGAACAAUUGUUCAAAGUUUCUUUGGAACAUCAAGGAAGGAAAUCCAGAUUUUACUUUAAGUGCAAUGGGGAGUCAUUAAGGAUUUUGUGUAGGUGAGUUACAUUUCGAUUAUAUUUUGAAAAGAGCAUUCUAGCUGCAUAGUGGAGAAUUGGUUAUAGGAGAACAAGAGGGAAUCGAUGAGAAGAAUGUGGCUCUAAUCAGGUGACAGAAGUGAUG